GGAGAGGUUCCCGAGUUGGUCAAAGGGGGCAGACUGUAAAUCUGUUGGCUCAGCCUUCGGUGGUUCGAAUCCACCCCUCUCCACCA
rnacentral:tRNA from 1 species